CCGAGACAAACCCAAUACCCCUGUCCUUAUUGGCCCUAACACAUGAGAAUAUGGCAACAUCUUUUUCUCGACCCUGGAAACCAUCAACAGUUUGUAUAUCAACAAACUUUUGAGAUUCCUGCCCAAAAGUAUCCCGAAAUCGGUCUUGGAAAAGCUUGACUUGGUAUCUAUAGGGAGAGAUAAUUGCAAGUUGUGAACUUGACCUAAGCUCCGGAUACAUAGUCACCAAUUUAUGAUACAAGAGGAGCACAAACUCAACCUCAUCGGUGUUCACCCAGGACCCACUUCCAGAGGGCUGCGAUUCUUUUCCUUCA
rnacentral:misc_RNA from 1 species